rnacentral:rRNA from 1 species
AUUGAACGCUGGCGGCAUGCUUUACUACAUAGGCAAGUCGAACGGUAACAGGGCCUUCGGGUAGCUGACGAGUGGCGAACGGGUGAAGUAAUAGCAUCGGAACGUGCCCAAGUCGUGGGGGAUAACGUAGCGAAAGUUACGCUAAUACCGCAUAAGCCCUGAGGGGGAAAGCAGGGGAUCGCAAGACCUUGCGCGAAUGGAGCGGCCGAUGUCAGAUUAGCUAGUUGGUGGGGUAAAGGCCUACCAAGGCGACGAUCUGUAGCGGGUCUGAGAGGAUGAUCCGCCACACUGGGACUGAGAUACGGCCCAGACUCCUACGGGAGGCAGCAGUAGGGAAUAUUGCGCAAUGGGCGAAAGCCUGACGCAGCGACACCGUGUGUAGGAUGAAGGUCUUCGGAUUGUAAACUACUGUCAGUUGAAGACGAAGGCAGUAGAGUUAAGAGCUCGAAUGCUGACGGUAUUCAAUUAGGAAGUCUCGGCUAACUCCGUG